rnacentral:rRNA from 1 species
UACGGAGGUGGCAAGCGUUGUUCGGAAUUACUGGGCGUAAAGGGCGCGUAGGUGGCCUGUUAAGUCGAACGUGAAAUCCCCGGGCUCAACCCGGGAACUGCGUCCGAGACUGGCAGGCUCGAAUCCGGGAGAGGGAUGUGGAAUUCCAGGUGUAGCGGUGAAAUGCGUAGAGAUCGGGAGGAACACCAGUGGCGAAGGCGGCUCGCUGGGCCGGUCCUGACGCUGAGACGCGAAGGCGUGGGGAGCGAACGGG